rnacentral:rRNA from 1 species
CAAUAGCGUAUAUUAAAGUUGUUGCGGUUAAAAAGCUCGUAGUUGGAUUUCUGCCGAGGACGACCGGUCCGCCCUCUGGGUGUGUAUCUGGUUUGGCCUGGGCAUCUUCUUGGAGAACGUAGCUGCACUUGACUGUGUGGUAUGGUGUCCAGGACUUUUACUUUGAGGAAAUUAGAGUGUUUCAAGCAGGCACACGCCUUGAAUACAUUAGCAUGGAAUAAUAAGAUAGGACCUCGGUUCUAUUUUGUUGGUUUCUAGAGCUGAGGUAAUGAUUAAUAGGGAUAGUUGGGGGCAUUCGUAUUUAACUGUCAGAGGUGAAAUUCUUGGAUUUGUUGAAGACGGACUACUGCGAAAGCAUUUGCCAAGGAUGUUUUCAUUGA